UCUCACUCAUAUUUUAUAUAUAUAUUAUAUAUAUAUAUUGUAAUUAAUGUAAUAACUGUCAUACGAACAAUUAAAUUUUACACGAAGUCCGUUGUUGUUCGAAAACCGAAAAAAAAAA